GUUUUAAUAAUUUAAUUAAAAUAUUGGUCUUGUAAAUCAAAAAUAAGUAUAUAAACUUUUAAAACU
rnacentral:tRNA from 1 species